AGAGUUUGAUCAUGGCUCAGAUUGAACGCUAGCGGGAUGCCUUACACAUGCAAGUCGAACGGCAGCACGGACUUCGGUCUGGUGGCGAGUGGCGAACGGGUGAGUAAUGUAUCGGAACGUGCCCAGUAGCGGGGGAUAACUACGCGAAAGCGUAGCUAAUACCGCAUACGCCCUACAGGGGGAAAGCAGGGGAUCGCAAGACCUUGCACUAUUGGAGCGGCCGAUAUCGGAUUAGCUAGUUGGUGGGGUAACGGCUCACCAAGGCGACGAUCCGUAGCUGGUUUGAGAGGACGACCAGCCACACUGGACUGAGACACGGCCCANACUCCUACGGGAGGCAGCAGUGGGGAAUUUUGGACAAUGGGGGAAACCCUGAUCCAGCCAUCCCGCGUGUGCNAUGAAGGCCUUCGGGUUGNAAAGCACUUUUGGCAGGAAANAAACGUCAUGGGUUAAUACCCCGGGAAANUGACNGUNCCUNGAAAANUAGNCCGGUUUANNUACGUNCCANCAGCCGNGGUAAUACGUNGGNUGCAAGCNUUAAUCGAAAUUCUGGCANAAAGCNUCCNCAGGCGUUUCNAAAANAAAGAUGUAAACCCCAGAGCUUAUNUUNGGAACUGUUUUUUU
rnacentral:rRNA from 1 species